CAAUGGCGGCGCGGGCUGAGGUUGCUAUGGUUACCGAUGCCGUGAGGCGGCGGUGUGGAAGGCGCACCGUACCCUCUGCGCGGCGCGGGGGUCGCGGCUGGGCUAGGCCGACGCCGGUAGGACGUGGCGGCCCCGCAGCGCGCCCGGGGCGGCUGCAGGCAGGAGCGCGCGCCGGACGGGGCCGCUGGAGCGGGAGGGAGGCUCCUUCGGCCUCCUCGCGGUAUAAAAGCCAAAAAUGAGUGAACCAGACCAUCGAACAUUCUUUACAACUCCCAGGUCUAGUGAUGUAGAAAAUCAGGUGAUUCCUAUGAGAAAUGGUGUUGGCAGCCAGAAGUAUAAACCUGUUGACUACAAACAACUAUAUGAACUUGCUGCAGUAGAAAAAAUGGCAUCUGCAAAAAUUAAGUUAAAGGUAUGAUUUUUAUAUUAUUUGUAAUAUGAAUGAUUUUAAAAUUCAAUGAUCAUAUUUCUUUUCACUGCCCCAAGGAAUCUGAGAAUGAAUAGGGAUAACAAAUUGCUGUAACAGCAUUCGGCAAGAGGGGGCAAAAGACAAGAGUUUAUCACAGUUAUUGUGAUUUGGACACAUUAAUGUCAGUAUGGAAUUUCUUUGAGUCAGAGAUGCAAAGUAUUUGUGGAUUCUGCUUCCCCAAAAGACAGGAAAGGUUCGUACUUGAGUGCUUUGAGGAAAUUCAUCCAGACUCGUGACAAACUACUCAAAAUACUGGGGGUAAUGAAGAAUUUAUGGGAAUAAAUGGGAAGGGGAGGUUGAUUCA
rnacentral:lncRNA from 1 species